ACCUGAAGCUGCGAGUGCUUGGUCCGAGUUGGGCAAGUUGGUGUUUCUUAACUAUGAAAGUCUGAUACGCGUCCUUCCCCUAAACUUCUGUUAGAACGGUGGGAAACAUUGCUCCCGUGAGAACGGUAUAGUGGACUUCAUCGCCACUGACCCACAUUUAUUAGGGUGUAACACGAACUUGUGGACAGGUAACAAAACCAAUUCAGUGGAGGAAUAUUCCUGUGUUUUAUUGUCCAGCUAGUGAUCUUCUGCCUUUUAUUCACAGAGUACCGAGCUGCUGCUUUGCCAGGUGGAUUUCUGGCUGCGGGCAAAGGACCCGACACAUCAGUGUGUUUUAAUUUGUUUUAAACUGGUGUAAGCCGACAGACUGACUGCUGCGGCUGUCGAUGGUUUUGGUUUUUGGUUUUACUUUUUCUGUAUCAGUAGGCACCACAGAUAUUGAUCCUUUUAGUAUUUUAACCCCUUUAUUUAUAUAUAUAUAUAUAUUGUCGCAGACGGUGAAGGCGCUGCAGGGAAAACAAAUCCUUUUUUUUUGUCUCCCCGCUUUUGCAUGCACAGCGGUGGGCCCGAGUGAAGACGGCACUGAAGAUUUGACUUUUUUUCUAUAGUGUUUUACCCAUUUGGGGUUAUGUGUGAGUUGCCGUCCAUGUUUUACCUGUGUGCUAUGUUGAUUUGUUUUUAAACGGUUCCCCGCAGCGCUUGUCCUGCCUCACGGGCAAUCGCACAGUUUUAUCGUCUCUAAUAAGGUAACGUUUUUAAUUGGUUUGAGGUGCCGCUGUUACACUGUUUCUUUUAUUUUGUAUUAAAAAAUUAAACUCUUUUAAACUGACUGUGCGCCUACGGCUCUGUCCUAUUUUAAAUAGGUACCUACCACGGGUCACAAACUGGCGUUGUCGGACAGGAUGAGCCUCUAGGUGUGCACAGCGAUUAGUCAGUUGGUUUGUGUAAAAUUUUUAUUUUUAUGGGUGUGUGUUUUUAAACUGUUUUAUAUUUGUAUUUAUUUUUUUUAGGCAAAGCAGCAGCUGGUAAAUCCUGGUGGUAACAAAGUGUAAUCUGCAUUUAAACACAGUAGGCACUUACUGUUGAGGGUUUUUAUUUUUUAUUAUGGAGUCCCAAUCAGGCAUUUCUAGCCCCUGUAGACCUCAUGACUCUACCCCUAUGGAGGGCUCUCUCCAAGAGAGGCUGGUUUAUAUCCCUAGAGAGAGGUCGUGCCCCCUGUUUAGUGGAACUGGGGAAAUUAGUGUCCAAAGUUGGGUGGAGGAAAUAAAAUCUGUGAUGCGCACUCGUAGACUUGCCCCUGUUGAUAGAGCCCAUUAUAUCUAUGAUCAUUUGACUGGUGAUGCUCGUGAGGAAAUAAAAUAUAGGUCCCAGCAAGUAAGAGAAGAUCCAGACCGCAUUUUUGAUAUUCUCCUUAGCCAGUAUGGUUGCCCCAUGUCCUUUAUUGCUGUUAAGGAAGCUUUUUAUGCAAGAAGGCAGCAAGAAGGAGAGUGACUGAGGGAAUUCUCACAUGCAUUGUUUUCUCUCAUGGACAAAAUGAUCCAAAGUUGUCCAGAGAGGCGAAUUCCUGAGGCUGCUAGACUGCUUUCUGAUCAGUUUGUAGAGGGUGUCCGGGAUGGAAAUUUGAGCCGCGAGCUUAAAAGGAUUGUUCGCGAACAUCCAGAUUAUGACCUCCAUACUUUAAGAGAUGAAGGCCUCAGGUGGGAGCGGGAAGGCAGAGUAGGAGUAGAACCCGGCCGGUUCAGGACUUAUUCUGUCCCAGCAGUCUACAGCAUUCAGCAUACAGGACAAACAAAGGGGCCAAGGGAUACUAUUGGGUCAGAAUUAGCGGAGGUUAAGGAAAUGUUAAAACGGCAGCAGGCCCAGAUUGAUCAGCUUACACAUGAGUUGAGAGUUGCCCAUACAUCAAGUAAGUCUAGGUUCACGCAGAAAGGAAGGCAGGUUAUUUGCAGGCGGUGUCAGAAG
ensembl:lncRNA